CCCCUAGAUGUUCUGGGCCGCACGCGCGCUACACUGAUUCAUGCAACAAGUUUUGUCCUUGGCUGAUAGGCCUGGGUAAUCUUUGAACGUGAAUCGUGAUGGGGAUAGAUGAUUGCAAUUAUUCAUCUUCAACGAGGAAUUCCUAGUAAACGCAAGUCAUCAGCUUGCAUUGAUUACGUCCCUGCCCUUUGUACACACCGCCCGUCGCACCUACCGAUUGAAUGGUCCGGUGAAAUCUUCGGAUCUGAGAGAUGUCUGAUUAAUUUCGGACGCCUUUUGGAAAAGUUGUUUAAACCUUACCAUUUAGAGGAAGGUGAAGUCGUANCA
rnacentral:rRNA from 1 species